rnacentral:rRNA from 1 species
UGGGGAAUAUUGCACAAUGGGCGAAAGCCUGAUGCAGCAACGCCGCGUGAGUGAUGAAGGCCUUCGGGUUGUAAAGCUCUGUCUUUUGGGACGAUAAUGACGGUACCAAAGGAGGAAGCCACGGCUAACUACGUGCCAGCAGCCGCGGUAAUACGUAGGUGGCAAGCGUUGUCCGGAUUUACUGGGCGUAAAGGAUGCGUAGGCGGAUUUUUAAGUGAGAUGUGAAAAACCCCUAAGCUUAACUUGGGGGACUGCAUUUCAUACUGGAAAUCUAGAGUGCGGGAGAGGAGAAUGGAAUUCCUAGUGUAGCGGUGAAAUGCGUAGAGAUUAGGAAGAAACACCAGUGGCGAAGGCGAUUCUCUGGACCGUAACUGACGCUGAGGCAUGAAAAGCGUGGGUAGCAAACAGGAUUAGAUACCCUGGUAGUCCACGCCGUAAACGAUGAGUACUAGGUGUAGGAGGUAUCGACCCCUUCUGUGCCGCAGUUAACACAAUAAGUACUCCGCCUGGGAAGUACGAUCGCAAGAUUAAAACUCAAAU